rnacentral:rRNA from 1 species
UACAGAGGUCGCAAGCGUUAAUCGGAUUUACUGGGCGUAAAGCGUGUGUAGGUGGUUGUGCAAGUCGGUUGUGAAAUCCCCGGGCUCAACCUGGGAACUGCUUCCGAGACUGUGCGACUAGAGAUCGGUAGAGGGCGGUGGAAUUUCCGGUGUAGCGGUGAAAUGCGCAGAUAUCAGGAGGAACACCGAUGGCGAAGGCAGGUCUCUGGGCCAUAACUGACGCUGAGAAGCGAAAGCAUGGGGAGCGAACAGG